rnacentral:rRNA from 1 species
GAUGAACGCUGACAGAAUGCUUAACACAUGCAAGUCAACUAUGGCGGACGGGUGAGUAACGCGUAAAGAACUUGCCUCACAGCUAGGGACAAGAUUUGGAAACGAAUGUUAAUACCUGUUACUGUGAGAGAGCUUUGCGUCCCAUUAGCUAGCUGGAGAGGUAACGGCUCACCAAGGCGAUGAUGGGUAGCCGGCCUGAGAGGGUGAUCGGCCACAAAGGGACUGAGACACGGCCCUUACUCCUACGGGAGGCAGCAGUGGGGAAUAUUGGACAAUGGAGCAAAGUCUGAUCCAGCAAUUCUGUGUGCACGAUGAAGUUUUCGGAAUGUAAAGUGCUUUCAGUUGGGAAGCGGUACCAACAGAAGAAGUGACGGAUAAAUACGUGCCAGCAGCCGCGGUAAUUC